UGUUCCUUACGUGACAAGGACAAAACGUGUCACUCUGUUUUCCACGAUCGAGAUUUCGAGGGUGGCUGCAGGCAGCUCGUUAACGCGCGUCCCUCCACUUAAGGGGCGUUCUAGAAUGCGAAGAAGGAUGAGUCGGAGUAUACGAGUUUUCGAAGUCGGAGAGUGAGAGCGAGACCUUUGUCGAUAAGAAGCAUCGCCCGGGGAUGGGAAGAAUAUUCGACGAGCUUAUCGACGAGACGAGUCGAUAUUCAUCGAUUUAACGAGGCUUGGUACCCCGACAGAAUAGUACAGCUCAUUAAAAGCUCGUUAGAAGAGAAAGUGCGUCAUGCCAACUUCUUAGGUGCAGUUU
rnacentral:misc_RNA from 1 species